GUGGGGAAUCUUGCGCAAUGGGCGAAAGCCUGACGCAGCCAUGCCGCGUGAAUGAUGAAGGUCUUAGGAUUGUAAAAUUCUUUCACCGGGGACGAUAAUGACGGUACCCGGAGAAGAAGCCCCGGCUAACUUCGUGCCAGCAGCCGCGGUAAUACGAAGGGGGCUAGCGUUGCUCGGAAUUACUGGGCGUAAAGGGCGCGUAGGCGGACAGUUUAGUCAGAGGUGAAAGCCCAGGGCUCAACCUUGGAAUUGCCUUUGAUACUGGCUGUCUUGAGUACGGGAGAGGUUAGUGGAACUCCGAGUGUAGAGGUGAAAUUCAUAUAUAUUCGGAAGAACACCAGUGGCGAAGGCGACUCACUGGCCCGUUACUGACGCUGAGGCGCGAAAGCGUGGGGAGCAAACAGGAUUAGAUACCCUUGUAGUCC
rnacentral:rRNA from 1 species